CUUUAUUAUUUUUUGGGGAAGCAGUCUUAGGUUUACAAAAAUCUUGAGCAAAAGUACAGAGAGUUCCCUUCUACCCCUUAAGCCCCCCACCAGUUUCCCUUAUUUUUAACGUCUUGCAUUAGUGUGGCACGUUUGUUACAACCAGUGAGCCCAUAUUGAUACAUGAUUAUUAACAAAAGUCCAUAGUUUACAUUACUGUUCACUGUCUUUGAUAUAUAAUCUAUGGAGUUUGACAGACGUAUAAUGAUCUGUAUCCACUAUUAUCGUGUCAUACAGAACGAUAGCUUCACUGCCAUAUUGUGUUUUCAUUUGAUAUUUUAAAAGCAAUGUACUGAAAACGUGUCAGGUUGAAACAGCUUUCACUUUGUGCCCGUUAUUCUCCAAUCGCUCCUCCAGAUCAUUCACUUCUCCAUCCUGCUCGAUGGCCCUGAUGGUGACCUCUACAGAAUGCAUCAGCUGAGAUGCCCUUCUGGAUUUGGGUGGAGUUUGGUCAGGAGACGUUGUCAGCAGAUAACCAGAGGAGGGGGAGAGAGAGGUCAGGCUGUUAACUCCCUGCUUCCUCCUCGUCAAGUUCUGCUUUGGCAUGGCUGUGUUCCUCUACCCAAGGCUACAACUGGGGCCCCUCUUCCGUGGGUAGAGCUCUCACCUGGUCCUAGAAAUAGCUCAGUCCUGUGCCCUCAGGGCUGUGGGUAGUAACUCCUUCCUGUUUUAAUUAGUCCUUGGGUGUUUUGCCAUCCCUUGUUGGUUUCUUUUUGGUGGAGGCACCUUUGUAAAUAGACCCUUUAUUAAAUUCUCUUCACUUACCCCUUGACUGUGCGUCUAUCUCCUGCAAGAAGUAUACACAUCUAUCCCGCUGAUUCUUACAGUGUUCUUGGAAUUCUAGCCUGUGUUCUGCUUCUCAUUUUACACAGUGUUUAAGAAACUGAGGCCUUGGAGACCCACCGCACUGCCCAAGGUCACGGACGAUGUUGCACGAGGCUGACAUUCAGGGCUCCUGACUUUGUGCAGCCAUCUCCCUGAGCGCUGGGGGAUUUAGAAAAAUGCUUUACCAUUGUGUGGUGUGUUCAUCAUUAUCAAAAAAGAAAAGUCAAUAAGAGAACAAAACUAUUUUGGAAAUACUGAGUAUUUUCAGCUCUCUUUAAGGAACACAGUGGUGAGAAAACACACCACUUCAAAACUCCACUAAGAACUACUUUGUAGAAAUGGCAAGUUGAAGAGCAGAGUGGUUGACAAGGUUCUGGAAAUCCUAAAGGAACAAUUUCCAAAUAUAUCAUGAGAGUGAGAAACGAAUCAGAGAUGCAUGCAGUCAUAGUUUUCAACUGCAAUUCAGCUCCAGCAGCAGAUUUUUUGUAAGCAUUCUGAAAGAAAAAACAACAUAUUUAUGAUUAGAAAACGAAAACAUUUUCUGGCUCAGUGUGUAGUAAAGGUGGUGUGGAUCCCCCCGCCUCAAUGAAUCAUUGGUUCAACUGGAAUGCAUCGUUCCUUGCAACAGCUAUUUACAUCAAUA
rnacentral:lncRNA from 1 species